rnacentral:lncRNA from 10 species
GUGUGGAGUGCUCAGAACCUGGGGGAAGAGUUUGGACUAUGCUCAGAAUUUUCAGAGCAGCAAUUCUCAAAAUGUGAUCCCAGACAGGCAGUAUCAGCAUCACCCAGGAACUUUUGAGAAAUGCAAAUUAUUGGGCCUCACCCCAGACCUGCUGAAUCAGAAACUGGGAGUGGAGCCCAGGAAUCUGUAUUUUAACCAGCACUCUUGUUGAUUCUGAUGCAUGCUCAAGUUUGAGAACCACCAUUAUAGGGAAAGCUGUCACCUCAGUCACAGUGGCCACUGCUGUGGCCAUGUGUGGGAUCUGUGAGAUCUGAUAGAGCAGCCAGAACACCUGUGAAGAGGGAACGAAGAGGGUCUUGAGUUUCCCUGGUAAUUAUUCAGUUCAAUCUGCACUUUGUUCACAAUCCAUCCUUCAUGGGAGGAGGCUUUACCUGGACAUGUUAAGCAUGGGUCACCCACCUACCUGUCAGCAUUAGAUUCCUCAUCCAUAAGCUCAGGACACCUGUGCCCUCCUUCCCACCUAGCAGUGGUGGUGACAUUGCUCUGCAGAGAGUGAGGGCUCCCUUCCUCCCAUCUAGCUGUCUCUGAUGUCAAGAUUGCCAGGAGUGGGGACAAGCAACAACCUGCACUUUGCCAUUGAUCAGCUUUUCUCUGUGUCUCUCAUUUUCUCUAUUGAGUGACACUUGGAGGUGGGCCUAGUGUCUGCCCAAGUCUGCUGCUACAUGAUGCUGUCAGCAUCUUUGUCCCAAAAUACGGCUAUAAUUGGGUCUCUCCCAAACAAAACAGUCCCUUUACAAGAUACCCAGAGAAUAAAUCCAAAGUCUAUCCUGAAACACCACAGCCUCCAAAAUCUAGUACCCACUGUCUGAAUUUUUUAAAAAAUAAAUUUUAAAGAUGUAGGAAGCACAGAGAAUAGUAUUAUUACAUGUACUCAGAAGUCACACUAUCACAUGUUACUGUGUUGUCACAUUUAUUUUAUUAUUUUCUAGUGAAGUUAUUACAAGUACAGUCUUCUUUCCCCUCCUUGAAUUCACGCUUCAGUCAUUUUCCUCUGCGAAUCGCUUUAUACAGCCCAUACUCAAGCCUGACAGGACCAUGGGAAUUUCCAGUGGAAACUGGUGCCAUAUUGCCUCCCUACAUUUGUCUGUGUGGGACCCCUGACUAGAAUGUCCCCCUACCCAUCAGCUGCCCCUGGAAUUUGAGAGUUCACUCAAAUCCUACUAGCUCUUCAAGCACCAGUUGAAAUGCCACACCUCCCAUGAAGCCCGUGGGUUUUCUUUCCCACUUCUCUUAAACUCCCCCAGCCCUCCCCACUGUCACCUUGAGCUGGGAUAACUUUCAAAUCCCUGCCUUUGGAGCACAGGAUUGAUUCAGAGCACGAGGCUGAAGGCUCAGCUUGGCCAUUGACUGAGUGUGGGAUGCUUGACAGACUCAAUGCCCUCAUCUGUGAAAUGGGGAUAAUAAUGUCUUCUUUGCAGGCUUGAGAGAAAAUGUGUGACGGCUGUAAGGGAUGAUCAUGCGAGGGAUUUUAUAAGUAAUCCUAGGUAAGGGAUCAUUUAUGUUUGCUAAUGCUCCCUGACUUUCGUCAUCAUUUGCGGUGAUGCAUGCACGUAUCUCAACUGCCUGAGGACAGAGUGAAUCCCGGCCUGAUUUACCUUUUAUGCUACGCAGAAUUCAGUUUGAUGCUUUCCCACAAUCAUGACUCAAUAAGGUUGACUGAGGAGUGGGUAGGGUUACGAACACUGUGAUCGUUUCUGCCUGUCUUACUACAAGGUGGAGGAAUGGGACUUCCCUUUGGCCGUCAGACAUACAGCAAGUGCUCACUGUGUGCCAGGCACAGGACUAGCUGGCAGUGGAGGCACAAAUAUGUUCCAGACAUGAUCUCCAAGGCCAGUUAUAGGCAAAGGUCACGUGUGUGACAAGGAAGACAUGUCCCUUCAUGUUGUUUAUUCAUUGCCUG